rnacentral:rRNA from 1 species
GACGAACGCUGGCGGCGUGCUUAACACAUGCAAGUCGAACGGUAAGGCCCUGCGGGGUACACGAGUGGCGAACGGGUGAGUAACACGUGGGUGAUCUGCCCUGCACUCCGGGAUAAGCGUGGGUAACUGGGUCUAAUACCGGAUAGGACCACUGCCUGCAUGGGUGGUGGUGGAAAGCUUUUGCGGUGUGGGAGGGGCCCGCGGCCUAUCAGCUUGUUGGUGGGGUUCUGGCCUACCAAGUCGACGACGGGUAGCCGGCCUGCGAGGGUGAGCGGCCACAGUGGGAAUGAGCUAGGGGCCAGACUCCUACGGGAGGCAGCAGUGGGAAAUAUUGCAGAAUGGGCGCAGGCAUGGUGCAGCGACGCCGCGUGAGGGAUGACGGCCUUCGGGUUGUAAACCUCUUUCAGCAACGACGAAGCGCAAGUGACGGUAGGUGCAGAAGAAGGGCCGGCCAACUACGUGCCAGCCGCCGCGGUAA